rnacentral:tRNA from 1 species
GGGAAUGUAGCUAAAGGGUAGAGUACUUGUCUGGCAUACAAGAGGUCCUGGGUUCAAACCCUAGUACUGCAG